AUGUACAUUCUUACAACAUAAUGUUAAUCGACCGGAUCCCAUUAGACAUUUGUAGUUAAGCGCGCUCAGGAUAGAGUAGUACUGGGAUGGGUGACCGCCCGAGAAGUCUUAGUGUUUUACAUG
rnacentral:rRNA from 1 species